UCUUGAUGUGGUGAACUAAUCGCCUUUCUUGAGUCGCGAGGAAGACGAUGAUGAAUUAGAUCUUAAGAAGCCACCAGAGGCGACUAGGGUUGAUCGUCUACGACAUUGUCUCAUCGGCAAGUUCCUUACUGGCUCCCUAUUGGAUUUAUAUCGGAAGGAAUUGGUCAACAAAUUGGGAAUUAUGUUGGCAGGUUACGAGAAUACAAUCAACAAAAUGAAAUGGGAUUAUGGAGGACAUUUAUGCGCCUAAAAGUCACGCUGGAUGUCAGGCAUCCACCAAAGCGAAUGAAAAAAAAUCAAAACCACAGCAACUAAAUGGGCUAUGAUCACUUUCAAGUAUGAGAUACUGCCAAAAUUUUUUUGUGUGGGAUACUUGGGCACUCUGAUAAAUUUUGUCCCCAACUUUAUGAUCAUGAGGAAUCUCAACUCCGACGUGAAUGGGGGGUGGGGGAGUGUUUUUGAAAGCUCAAUCUCAUAAUAUUGAUCAGAGUGGUGAACGGUGGCUUGUUGGCAAGUCAGCUAUUAGUCAAGUUAUAGAUAUCACCAAUCCAAUACACUAUGAGCAGAAUGUAUCACAAGCAGCAUCUACAUUACGGAUGGAUAUGGAAGUUGCUUCUUUACAAGGUGGUAAUCAUACACUUGGCCCAAGGGAUUAUGAUGUCCAAGGGGUGAGCUUAAUGCCACGCAGGGCAAUUGAUAAAAGGAAAGAAGUGGCUGCUGGGUGUGACAUAGAGUGUGAAAAAAUUGGCUUGAUCUUACAUGAAGAUAGGCAAAAACAACGAAAGGAUAGGGAGUUAGCACAACAUGAGGAAGCACAAAUUGAACCCCAAGCCCAAGUCUUAGAAAGCUCCAUCGCCAUGGAAAGUGAAGCAAUUUUUUUAUUGGCAGAGCCUUAGGUCCAAGCCUGCCACAAUCCAUGAGUUACUUAUUUUGGAGCUGUCGAGGGCUUGGCAACCCUCGGUCAGUUCUAGAUCUUUAUGAGCUAGUGAAAAUGUUGCGGCCAGAUAUCAUGUUCCUUAUGGAGACGAUGUGUUUUGAAACCAAAAUAAAAGAAGUUCAUCAUAAGCUUCAUUUUGAGGCUUGUUUUGCAGUUGAUCGGCUUGGUCGAGGUGGAGGGUUAGCAGUUGAUCGACUUGACGAUUACUGAUCAAAGAACUCUGUCAUGGAGAUUGACUUACUACUAUGGUUUUCUUGAAAUAUCUCAGCGACGCGCUGUGUGGCAAUUUCUAAGAGCUUUAUCCCGAAGAUCCAGGUUACCUUGGUGUAUUCUAGGGGAUUUCAAUAACCUCUUAAAUCUUGACAAAAAGCGAGGGGAGCACCACAUCCAGAAUGGGGUUUUUAUGGGUUUAAACAGGCAUGUUUUAGAUUGUGGGCUGUUGGGUAUAGCGUUAUCUGGCCAUCCUUACACUUGGGAAAGAGGUCGAGGAACUGAAAUUUUUUUGGAGGAAAAACUAGAUCGUGCUAUGGGGACACCUAGUUGGAUGCAGUAGUAUGGUGAUGCUCCAUUAAGGAACUUUGCAACUCCAACAUCUGAUUAUUCUACAUUACUUCAUCAUUGGAAGGCAAGCCUUAUUUUUCCCAAAACCAAUAGGUUCGGCUUUGAGAAUUCUUGGCUUCGUGAGUCAUAUUUAGUAGAGUUUGUGCAACAUACUUGGGAAAGGGAUUCAAAUGCCGAUCUCCUUGAAAAAAUAAAGCACCGCAAUGAGAACUUAAAGGUAUGGGGUCAGAAUCUGACUGGUAACUUCAGGAAAAGGAUAUUUGAAUGCACAUCUCGUAUUUCUUCCCUCUAAGCAGCUAACAUUAACACUUUAGAUAGAGAUUUGAUGGCAGCCAAAACUGAAUUGGGGGAGAUUUUAGUACAACAAUAAGUAUAUUGGAAGCGGAGGUCUAUAUUAUUAUGGCUCAAAGAGGGUGAUUCUAACACUCGUUAUUUUCAUGCUUCAGCCUCUUAGCGUCGCAGAGUUAACACAAUCUCUAGACUUCGGGAUGAGGUAGGCGUAUGGUAUGAGGAUAAAAGUAUGAUGGUCGGAAUGCUUCUUGAUCAUUUUACUGAACUUUACUUGACACCAUUGGUUUCUGGUGAUAUGGAAGUUGUUUUACAAGCUAUUACUCCACGGGUUUCUCUUUAGGACAACAUGAUGCUCUUAGCAUCUUAUACCCUAGAAGAAUUCAAGCAAGCUCUAUUCCAGAUGUAUCCGGACAAAGCCCCAAGUUUGAAUGUGUUUAAUCCUGCAUUUUAUCAAAAAUUUUGGUAUCUGGUUGGCGUUAAUAUUGUGGAAGCAGGGACUAGGUGGCUUUAUGAUCAUCAGCUUCCACCAUAUUUAAAUGAUACUAUGUUGGUGUUAAUUCCAAAGCGGGAUACACCAACCACUGUCCAUGAUUUGAGGCCCAUUGCACUUUGUAAUGUACUUUACAAAGUUAUAUCGAAAGUUAUUGCCAACAGAUUGAAGCGUAUUCUUCCCAAUAUCAUUUCUGAAUUCCAAUUUGCUUUUGUGCCAGGAAGAUUAAUCACAGAUAAUGUGCUUGUGGCUUUUGAAAUAUUACAUCAUUUGAAGUGCAAAUGGGCGGCCAAUCGAGGUGAGAUAGCGCUUAAGAUUGAUAUUAGUAAGGCAUAAGAUUGAGUUAAUUGGGAUUAUCUGCAACAGAUAAUGCUCAAAAUGGGUUUUGAUGGUUCAUGGGUGGAAUUAGUCGUGUCUUUCAUUUCCUCUAUCACUUUUUAUGCUGAUUUCAAUGGAAGUCUUCUUGGGCUGAUUAGACUAGUCGAGGCCUUCGUCAAGGGGACCCUAUCUCUCCCUACCUAUUCAUCCUAUACUCGGAGGGUCUAUCAGCAUUGUUGUCUCAAACGGAAGAAGAAGGGAAGAUACAUGGCAGCAGAGUUUCUCAAGAAGCCCCAUUUAUUUCGCAUUUACUCUCUGCAAAUGAUAGCUUUCUGUUUGGUAGAGCAACCAUGGAGGAAACAAUGCAUCUGAAGCAUAUCCUUGUCCAUUACAAAUCAACAUCUGGUUAAUCAAUCAACUUCAAUAAAUCUGGCAUUUAUUAUAACCCUAAUGUUAAUUCUACUUGUCAAGCUCAGAUAGGAUCCAUUUAUGGAGUUUCUGCUCUUCUGGAUAACAUCAGGUAUUGGGUCUUCCUUCUUUUGUUGGUAGGAGCAAAAAGGCUUCGUUUGCCUUCUUGAAAGAUCGGCUUUGACAACGAAUUACAUUAUGGCGAAACCGUUUUUUGUCCCAAGGUGAUAAGGAAAUCUUAUUAAAAAUGAUCUGUCAAGCUUUGCCAACUUAUUGUAUAGGGGCUUUCCUAUUGCCAGUGUCUUUGUGUGAGGAGAUUCAAAAGAUGAUGAACUCCUUUUGGUGGGGAUCACAUGCACAUGGGUCGGGUGGAAUGCAUUGGAUGUCUUGGGAUAGACUUUGUGUUCAAAAAGAGAAUGGAGGAAUGGGUUUUCGACAACUACAUUGCUUUAAUCUUGUUAUGUUAGCAAAAUAGGGAUGGCGGGUACUCCAUCAUGGUACUGCUCUCAUUUCAAGGAUAUUCAAAGACAAAUAUUUUCCUGAUGUGAAAUUUUCUAAUGCCACAUUGGAUCAUAACUCGAUCUAUACAUGGAGGAAUAUUUUGUCAUCAUGUUGGUUAUUAGAAAAAAGGGUUGUAGAUGUCAAAUUGGAGCUGGAACUCAAGUGCACGAGUGGGAAGAUGCUUGGUUACCUAAUGUGGAGGACUUUCAUGUUCAGACAGAGGGAAACCCUGUCAUUGGUGAUAUAUGCGUCGCAGACUUAAUGAUACCCAAUAGCAUAGAAUGGGAUGUUGAAUUGGUGCUGGAGCUUUUCAAUGAGAGAGAUGCCAGUUUUAUCUGUAAAAUAGUGCCAACAAGGGAUGAUGAAGAUUUACUUAUUUGGCACCACUCAAAGACAAGCAUAUAUCAAGUGAAAUCGGGAUAUCGAUUAGCCUUUAAUAGUCUUACUUGUGAUCUUAAUUUGGUACAUAUUGGGGAUUGGAACUCUUUAUGGAGAUUGAAAUUGCCACCUAAGAUACGUCACUUCAUUUGGAGAUUGCAACGGCAAUGCCUCCCAUUGCGAGGACAACUUGUGGAGAAAAGUAUGCAGAUUCAAAAUAUAUGUCCAUGUUGCAAUAGGCCUACGAAGACCCGAAGCCAUCUGUUUUUACAUUGCCCUUUUGUUACCUCUUUUUGGUCUCAUCUGAAUAUUGAUGUGGAUAGGAUGGAGAAGAACAGGUUUAAUGACUGGUUUGUUGAUGUAUUGAACAAAUACUUAGACAAUGUUACAGCACAAGCUUGUUUAUUGUUAUGGAGUGUGUGGAAGUUUAGGAACAACAAUGUGUGGAACAUGCAUCAACUCCCAUUAGCCUCUGUCUUUCAACAUGGACUGGAGUUUUUGAUGUCUUGGAGGGAAGCAUAAGUCAAGGUGGUGGCAUAUAGUAAUUCAACUGCAGCGCAUCUUCGCCAAUCAAUGAAGUGGGUUCCUCCCUCUGAUGGAUGGCUUAAGUGUAAUUUAGAUGGAGCCUUGUUUGCUCAACAAGUUAAAUAUUGCAUGGGGACAGUGCUACGAGAUCAUAUGGGACAUAUCACUGCUGGGUUUUCUGCUGCCUUCAAUAGGCUUCAUUUAUAAACGGAGGUAGAGAUGAUUUCUUUCAAAGAAGUGUUAAGUUGGUUGAAGGAUUCUCAAUAUGUUAAUGUUAUUAUUGAGAUGGAUGCACUUGUUGUUGUUCAAAGAAUUGCCGCUGAAUUUGAAUAUAUCACCUUUGGGCAAUAUUAUAAGGGACUGUAAGUUAUUUCUGUCUACUUGUCCUUCAUUCAAAUUAAGGUGUGUAAGGAGGACAGCAAAUAGUGCUAGUCAUUCUUUAGCAAAAAUGUCUAUUAUAUGUGUCCCCUGAAUAUUGGGAAAAGUCACUUGAUGGGA